rnacentral:lncRNA from 1 species
UUAUGGAGAUUUUAUUUCCUUUAUUUGAGAAACUUAAGUCUUGGGUACAUCAAAACCAAUUUCUGGGAUGAGGGAAAAAAAAAACCAGAACCCAUAAUAGAAAAAAAAAGUUAUCAUCUGGGUCACAACAGAACCCAGAGAAUAUAUUCUUAUAAUUGAAAAAAUUAUAGGUGCUUCAUAAUUGACCUUCUGAUACAAAAUGACCUAUUGAAUUUGCAACUUGGUUCUUGGUGUGGAGGUCCACAGACAAACUAGGAUGUCUUCAGACCUUAGCUGGAUGCCAUGAGGGGUUAUUUGGCUUUCGACUCUUUUUUUCUUGUCUAAGAGGUAGCAGCAGCAACAGUGCCCACCUUCUGGGCAGCUUCUUUCUUGGCAUGGUGAGCCUGCAGGACUGCCACCGCUUCAUCUACCUUGGAGCGGAGGGACUCGGGGGACUCCAGCAUGUGCAGCAGCUCAGAGUUGUCGAUUUCCAGCAGCAUCCCGGUGAUUUUCCCAGCCAGGUUUGAAUGCAUUGUUUGGAUAAGCGGGAACAGACGCUCCCCCAGCAUCUGCUUCUGCUCCUGAGGGGGCGCUGCAGCAAGCAUGGAGGCAGUCAGGGGCUCCUGACCCUGGACGUGGACUGCAGGCUGGGGGGCCUGCAGCGGCUGGAUGGCAGGGUGUGGGCUGCGGACACUGGAGGCGUACUUGUAUGGAGCCACAGCCCUGGGAGCGGCGGCAGCAACUGCGGCCCGAGGUGCAAGGUUUGGCACGGCUCCAGACUGGCAGCUGUCAGUCAGCCCUUGCUGGGCGGCACCAGCCCCACCAAAGUCCAUAGCCAAGCGGUCCGGGCACUCAGACCCAGUUGGAGCCAGAUGUCGAAGAGCUGGACGAGGCCCAGACUGCCGCAGGGCACUUGGCAUUCCUUGGAAGCCUUGAGGUCUCCCGCCUUGCUGCCAGCGUGGAUUAGGCCUCAUCUGUGCUAACUGGUUAGGCGUGUAAUAUGGGGGUCUUCCCUGAGCCUGCGGAACUGCAGGCACAAAAUAGCCACCAGCUGCAGGCUGGAACUGAUUUAAGAUGGCACUGGCAGGGAGUGCUCUCAUCCCCGCCACACGCUGCAUGUACUGGUUAGUCAGGUGAGCCUUCCGCUCUUCCUUCCUCUGGGCCAGGGCGACGUACAGAGGCUUGGAGCCCACAAUGCGUCCAUUCAUCUCGGUGACAGCUUUGGUCGCCUCUUCAGGAGAGGAGAAACAGACAAAGCCAAACCCUUUGCUUCUCCCAUCUUCUAGCAUCACCUUCGCACUGGUGAUUGAUCCAAAGGGAGAAAACUCUUUCCUUAAUUUCUCAUCAUCAAUGGUGUCAUCCAAGUUCUUAAUGUAGAGAUUCACCCCCUGGUACCGGCUAAUCCUCUCCUGCUUGAGCUGCUCAAACUUCCGCUUUAGCUCAGCCUGCCUUUCUACCUUUUUCUGUGCACGGCCUACAAAUAUGGCUUUCCCGCUCAUUUCCUUUCCAUUCAUUUCUUCCACAGCCUUAUUGGCAUCCUCGUGUUUCUCGUAACUUACAAAGCCAAAGCCUUUGGACUUCCCACUGGAGUCUCUCAUCACCUUGACACUUAGGGUCUUACCAAACUGGCUGAAGAGCUCUUUCAGAUUCCCAUCAUCCACCUCUUCUCCAAAGUUUUUGAUAUAAACAUUGGUGAAUUCCUUGGCCUUGGCUCCAAGCUCCGCUUCCCGCUCUUUGCGAGACUUGAAUCUACCCACGAACACUUUACGGUCAUUGAGAAGCAUGCCAUUCAUCUUCUCGAUGGCCUUGUCGGCGGCCUCUUGGGUCUCGAAGUGAACAAAAGCAUAGCCCUUAGAGCCGUUCUCAUCACAGACCACCUUACAGGACAAGAUGUUUCCAAAGGCAGAGAAAGUGUCAUACAGUGCCUUGUUGUCUAUGGAUUUGUCCAGGUUCUUGAUGAAGACAUUCCCAACCCCAGAUUUUCUCAACGAGGGAUCCCUCUGCGACCACAUGAUGCGGAUCGGCUUUCCCUUCAUCACGUCGAAGUUCAUGGUGUCCAAGGCCCUCUCAGCGUCAGCUGGCUGCUGGAAGUUGACGUAGGCAUAACCCAGAGAGCGCCGGGUGAUCAUAUCGCGACAGACCCGGAUGGACAGCACAGGCCCCGCAGGGCUAAACUUUUCAUACAGCAUGGCUUCGGUGACGUCCGAGUGCAAAUCGCCCACGUAUAAGGAGGCCAUGGGGUAGCUGCUGGCUGCAGCAUUCAUCUCCCCACCCCCCACGACCCCGAGCCCCGCCAGGAGGACUUCUAACAAGGCCUACUGCAGGACAAAAGGGGCUCCGAGGAGCUAUGGCACGCGCCGCAGCGCACAGGUGGCACCAGCGACACCGGAGAAGGCUGGAGCAGGGAGGCUCCGAGCCGGGACCCGUGUGCCGGACGACUUGCACGGGACUGCAAAAGCCCCAAGACAAAAGGCUCUCAAAAACAAUAUGGCCCGCUCCUGGAGUUUGUACUCUCCAGCUGUCCUGGCUUGAGGCUUAAAAAAUAAAAAUUAAAGUAGGAAAUCCCCUCGUAAAAGGGGCAAAAAAUUUUCAAGAGGCAAUCAGAUGCUGCGCUCACGGCCGCCUUGGGAACACGCGUUUCGUGAUAAAUAUAGGCCCCGGACUCCCGGCGGUUUACAGUUACAGCAGCCCGGGAAGGGGGAAACCAAAUCUUUGCGGGUGCCGGCGAAGGGCAGUGCGGACACGUGGUGCGGCCAGCCGGGACGCGGGGCUGCCACGCGGCGCAGAGGCGUGCAGGGGCGGGCCGGGCCGAGGGGGAUGGCUCACCACCGGACGGACAGACAGACGCUGACGGACAGGCAGGCCGGAAGCUGUGAAAGUCACUUCCCCACGGGCUCCCAGCACAAGUCGCUGUCUGGUUCUUUUUCUUCUUUUUUUCCCUUUUGCUUUUUUUUUUUUUUUCCUCUUCUUUUCUUUUCUUUUUUUUUUUUAAGGUUUUUGAGGCUUUUGUAUUUUUUUUAAGCUUUUUCUUUUUUCUGCUUCAGGCUUGCUGAGCCCAAACGCAACACUGACGGCUGCGACCCGGGGCGGAGAGAGCCAGGAACUCUAUUACUAUCAAUUUCAAAUGACAUCUAAAAACUUGAACAUGUAAAAUUAGCCUUUAUCAUUAUACUAUUCAUUGGAAAAACAGACUUACAAAAAAAACUGAUGUAAAUUUUGUGUAAAAUAAAAUUGCUUUUGAGAUC